CCGCGAAUAGCUCAUUACAAUAGCCGUUGUUUCUUGGAUCCUCAAUUUACUUGGAUACCUGUGGUAAUUCUAGAGCUAAUACAUGCGACUAAGGGCCGAACUCACGUGACGCUUGCAUUUAUUAGAUCAAGACUAACCGGCUUCGGCCGUUAACUUGGUGACUCUGAAUAACUCAGCUGAUCGCACGGUCUAGUGCCGGCGACAUAUCUUUCAAGUGUCUACCUUAUCAACUGUCGAUGGUAGUUUAUGUGACUACCAUGGUUGUAACGGGUAACGGAGAAUCAGGGUUUGACUCCGGAGAGGGAGCCUGAGAAACGGCUACCACUUCUAAGGAAGGCAGCAGGCGCGCAAAUUACACAAUCUCAGCACGAGGAUGUAGUGACGAAACAUACCGAGGCGAUGCCCUUUCGGGUGUCGUCAUUGGAAUGAGUCGAAUCUAAAAAAUUCGGCAAGGAUCUAGUGGAGGGCAAGUCUGGUGCCAGCAGCCGCGGUAAUUCCAGCUCCGCAAGUGUAUAUCUAUGCUGUUGCGGUUAAAAAGCUCGUAGUUUGAUUCGCGUACUUAGCACGCAGUGUGGCCUUUCGGCUACUACUGUGAUGCGGUACAUUAUCGUCAGUUUGUCGUUGAUGCUCUUCAUUGGGUGUCAGCGGCGGCUGUCAAGUUUACUUUGAACAAAUUAAAGUGCUCAAUACAGGCGUUUCGCUUGUAUAGUUCUGCAUGGAAUAAUAGAAUAGGACUUACGUUCUAUUGUGUUGGUUUUCAGAACGAAAGUAAUGAUUAAGAGGGACAGACGGGGUCAUUCGUACUGCCACGUUAGAGGUGAAAUUCUUGGAUCGUGGCAAGACGAACUACUGCGAAAGCAUUUGACAAGAAUGUUUUCAUUAAUCAAGAACGAAAGUUAUGGGUC
rnacentral:rRNA from 1 species